rnacentral:rRNA from 1 species
UACGGGGGGAGCGAGCGUUGUUCGGAUUUACUGGGCGUAAAGGGCGCGUAGGCGGCCACUGCAAGUCAGUUGUGAAAUCUCCGGGCUUAACCCGGAAAGGUCAACUGAUACUGCAGGGCUAGAGUGCAGAAGGGGCAACUGGAAUUCUCGGUGUAGCGGUGAAAUGCGUAGAUAUCGAGAGGAACACCUGCGGCGAAGGCGGGUUGCUGGGCUGACACUGACGCUGAGGCGCGAAAGCCAGGGGAGCGAACGGG